AACGAACGCUGGCGGCAUGCCUAACACAUGCAAGUCGAACGGGAUCCUGGCUUCGGUCAGGUGAGAGUGGCGGACGGGUGAGUAACGCGUGGGAACCUGCCCAGUGGUGGGGGAUAACUG
rnacentral:rRNA from 1 species